AGAGUUUGAUCCUGGCUCAGAACGAACGCUGGCGGCGUGGAUAAGACAUGCAAGUCGAACGGGGUUCCCAUUGUGUAGCAAUACAUGAUGUAACCUAGUGGCGAACGGGAGCGUAACACGUGGGAAUUUACCAAAAAGUGGGGGAUAGCUCGUCGAAAGGCGAAUUAACACCGCAUGUGAUCGAAAGAUUAAAGUGGGGGAUCGCAAGACCUCACGCUUUUUGAGAAGCCCGCGGCCUAUCAGCUAGUUGGUGAGGUAACGGCUCACCAAGGCGAUGACGGGUAGCUGGUCUGAGAGGACGACCAGCCUCACUGGAACUGAGACACGGUCCAGACUCCUACGGGAGGCAGCAGUGGGGAAUUUUGCGCAAUGGGGGAAACCCUGACGCAGCAACGCCGCGUGAGUGAUGAAGGCUUUCGGGUCGUAAAACUCUGUCAGCAGGAAAGAAGUUAUAUAUGGGUUAAUACCCAUAUAUAUUGACGGUACCUGCAAAGGAAGCAACCGGCUAACUCCGUGCCAGCAGCCGCGGUAAUA
rnacentral:rRNA from 1 species